AAAAAGAUAAACCCUGAGAUUUCAUGUCCAACUUUGAUUGUCCGUCUUAUAUGAAUUUUUUUUAUAAUUCGUAUUUUCAUUGUUGUUAGAUGAUAAAACAUGAUUAAUAUUUUAUGCGUGAUUUGUCUUUUAAUUUUUUUUAUAAUUUUUUAAAUAAGACAGACGGUCAAAUAUUGGGCAUGAAAAUUAGGGUUUGUCUUCUU
rfam:Oryza sativa Japonica Group DNA, chromosome 3, cultivar: Nipponbare, complete sequence.